GAUGAACGCUGGCGGCGUGCUUAACACAUGCAAGUCGAACGAGAAGUGGAGACGGAAACCUUCGGGCGGAAGACUUUACUUCGAGUGGCGGACGGGUGAGUAACGCGUGGGUAACCUGCCUCAUACAGGGGGAUAACAGUUGGAAACGACUGUUAAUACCGCAUAAGACCACAGCACCGCAUGGUGCGGGGGUAAAAACUCCGGUGGUAUGAGAUGGACCCGCGUUCGAUUAGCCAGUUGGCGGGGUAACGGCCCACCAAAGCGACGAUCGAUAGCCGAUAUGUGAGGAUGACCGGACACACUGAGGCGGAGAAACGGCCGGGACUCCUCCGGGAGGGAGGAGAGGGGAAUAUAGCACCGUGGGGGAAGCGCUGAUGCAGCGACGACGGGUGAGUGAAGAAGUAUGGCGGGAUGUAAAGCUCUAGCAGCAAGGAAGAAAAUGACAGUACCUGAGUAAGAAGCCACGGCUAACUACGUG
rnacentral:rRNA from 1 species